GGCAAACAGUGUGUGCCAGAGAAGACUGUGAAAAGCAGACCUUUAUCCUCAGUUCCGUUCUUCACCUGCGACAUCAAACUCCAGAAACUUGUUCUCCCUUCUCCCUCUCUUCUCCUUCCUCCAUCAUAUGAUAAUCUGGGGAAGCAGGGCUUUGAAACACUAUAUAAUCUUGCCAUACCACUGGGUCAAAUUAAGAGAGUAUUGAAGUCCUUGUAGCUACUGUUCUUCCACCUGCAUGAGGUCAGGAGAUACAUGAUGUGGUUGUUGUAGUACUUUCCAAGAAUGAGAAGAGGAUUGGAAAACCUGGAAGAUAUUCCAACACAAUACCUCUUUUAUCUUCCUAUAUAAUCUAGGAUGAUUACUGCAUUAUGACCAUGACAUUCUGAACAGCACUUUGUGUCAAUGCAGUAAGCUACAUCUCCACAAUUAACCCAGUACUGUUAGCGUAAGAACAACAUGCAUUCAGCUGCCCAAAUUAAGUCCCAGGAUACCCAGAAGAUUUCGUCAUCUGGAUCCCAGUUGGAUUCCAAAUCCAGGGGCCCGGGACACAGCAUUUCCUGUGCAGGAGGGACUGUUAAGAAACUGAGUGAGCUGAGCUACACCCCAUGAAAAGGACUUUCUGAAUUUGCCAUCUCUUCAGAACAGCGAGAUGUUUUAUUGUUUAAUAUUAUUCAUUUUCCCAUACCUUGCUUGCCAAAUAAACAGUUUUUUCCACUUUUCUCAAAGGAGGUUUACCUCCCAAACAGGCUGGGGGGAGGGCUAUCUUGAAUCUCCUUUCUAGAAAAGACCACUUUAGAAGUGUUUUGCCAAAAUUUACCCUAAACCAGGAAAAGGCAUUACAUUGUUGAAACUAUGAAGCUUCAAAACCCUGAGUAUGCUAACGCUACCUUUGAAAUACUUAACUGGAAAAUGUAUGGUUUCCUACUUGAAAACUUUUACCUUUUUUAUGAGAAAGAAUAACAUCAUGAAAAAAUUAGAUUGAGAAAUGCUACUUAGAAAUAUCUUGUGAUCUGUUGUAGGAGGUGAAACUAGUGUCUCCUUACUUUGUACUUGAUAAAACGUUCCUAAUCGCAUUUUUAUUUCCCAUAAUGUAUCUUGGUCUCGUCUUUGAAAAACAAAUCACAAAAAUCACAGAAUAUAUUGAGUUGGAAGGCACACAGAAGGGUCGUUGAGUUCAGUUCUUAAGUGAAUGGUCCAUAGAGUGAUCAAACCUAUGAUCCUGCUGUUAUUAGCACCAUGCUCUGAAAAGGAAAACAGCAGAUAUUUUUCACAAAUAUUUCCCUUGAACAUUCAAAAAGAGAGAU